rnacentral:rRNA from 1 species
AUUGAACGCUGGCGGCAGGCCUAACACAUGCAAGUCGAGCGGAGCGGCGGACGGGUGAGUAAGGCCUAGGAAUCUGCCUGGUAGUGGGGGAUAACGACCGGCAACGGGCGCUAAUACCGCAUACUAUCAGAUGAGCCGAUUGCGGAUUAGCUAGUUGGUGGGGUAAAGGCUUACCAAGCCGACGAUCCGUAACUGGUCUGAGAGGAUGAUCAGUCACACUGGAACUGAGACACGGUCCAGACUCCUACGGGAGGCAGCAGUGGGGAAUAUUGGACAAUGGGCGAAAGCCUGAUCCAGCCAUGCCGCGUGUGUGAAGAAGGUCUUAGGGUUGUAAAGCACUUUCAGUUGGGAGGCGUUACCAACAGAAUAAGCACCGGCUAACUUCGUGCCAGCAGCCGCGGUAAUAC